rnacentral:rRNA from 1 species
UACGUAGGGUGCAAGCGUUGUCCGGAAUUAUUGGGCGUAAAGAGCUCGUAGGCGGUCUGUCGCGUCGGAUGUGAAAGCCCGGGGCUUAACCCCGGGUCUGCAUUCGAUACGGGCAGACUAGAGUGUGGUAGGGGAGAUCGGAAUUCCUGGUGUAGCGGUGAAAUGCGCAGAUAUCAGGAGGAACACCGGUGGCGAAGGCGGCUCUCUGGAACGCAACUGACGCUGAGACGCGAAAGCGUGGGGAGCAAACAGG